CUUGAUCGAUCCCAGCCACAGCGGCCGGUCCGGUGGACGGUGCUGCCCGUAGGUGGCCAGAAGUGCUUGUGCCUC
rnacentral:antisense_RNA from 2 species